rnacentral:rRNA from 1 species
CAGUCGCCGCGGUAAUACGUAGGUGGCGAGCGUUGUCCGGAAUUAUUGGGCGUAGAGGGCUCGCAGGCGGUUUCUUAAGUCUGACGUGAAAGCCCCCGGCUCAACCGGGGAGGGUCAUUGGAAACUGUUUAACUUGAGUGCAAGAGGGGAGAGUGGAAUUCCAUGUGUAGCGGUGAAAUGCGUAGAUAUAUGGAGGGACACCGGUGGCGAAAGCGGCUCUCUGGCUUGUAACUGACGCUGAGGCUCGAAAGCGUGGGGAGCAAACAGGAUUAGAUACCCCCGUAGUCCCUGUCUCUUAUAC